GUUAAAGGUACCCGUACCGCAAACCGACACAGGUGGGUGAGGAGAGUAUCCUAAGGCCAGCGAGAGAACUGUUGUUAAGGAACUCGGCAAAAUGACCCCGUAACUUAGGGAUAAGGGGUGCCACCAUCAGGUGGCCGCAGAGAAUAGGCCCAAGCGACUGUUUACCAAAAACAUAGGUUUCUGCUAAGUCGCAAGACGAUGUAUAGGAGCUGACGCCUGCCCGGUGCUGGAAGGUUAAGGGGAUCUGUUAGAGCAAUCGAAGCAGUGAACUUAAGCCCCAGUAAACGGCGGCCGUAACUAUAACGGUCCUAAGGUAGCGAAAUUCCUUGUCGGGUAAGUUCCGACCCGCACGAAAGGCGUAACGAUUUGGGCACUGUCUCAACAACAGACUCGGUGAAAUUGUAAUUCCGGUGAAGAUGCCGGAUACCUGCGACAGGACGGAAAGACCCCAUGGAGCUUUACUGUAGCUUGACAUUGGGUCUUGGUACUACAUGUACAGGAUAGGUGGGAGGCUUUGAAACCAGGACGCCAGUUUUGGCGGAGCCAUCCUUGGGAUACCACCCUUGUAGUACUGGGACUCUAACCAUAGGCCAUGAAUCUGGUCUUGGGACACUGUCAGGUGGGCAGUUUGACUGGGGCGGUCGCCUCCCAAAAGGUAACGGAGGCGCUCAAAGGUUCUCUCAGUACGGUCGGAAAUCGUACGUAGAGUGUAAAGGCAAAAGAGAGCUUGAUUGCAAGACAUACAGGUCGAGCAAGGAUGAAAAUCGGACUUAGUGAUCCGGUGGU
rnacentral:rRNA from 1 species